rnacentral:rRNA from 1 species
UACGUAGGGUGCAAGCGUUGUCCGGAAUUAUUGGGCGUAAAGAGCUCGUAGGCGGUCAGUCGCGUCUGCUGUGAAAACUCGGGGCUUAACUCCGGGCCUGCAGUGGGUACGGGCUGACUAGAGUGCGGUAGGGGAGACUGGAAUUCCUGGUGUAGCGGUGAAAUGCGCAGAUAUCGGGAGGAACACCGGUGGCGAAGGCGGUUCUGCUGG